rnacentral:rRNA from 1 species
UGAGUACGAGCUGCUACGGCAGCGAAGUGGGUGAUGUCAAGCUUCCAAGAAAAGCCCUAUACCCGUUAAGGCAUGACGGCCUGUACCCGAAACCGACACAGGUGGGGUGGUAGAGAAUACCGAGGGGCGCGAGAUAACUCUCUCUAAGGAACUCGGCAAAAUGGCCCCGUAACUUCGGGAGAAGGGGUGCCACCGCAAGGUGGUCGCAGUGAAGAGGCCCAGGCGACUGUUUACCAAAAACACAGGUCUCCGCUAAGUCGCAAGACGAUGUAUGGGGGCUGACGCCUGCCCAGUGCCGGAAGGUUAAGGAAGCUGGUCAGCGCAAGCGAAGCUAGCGACUGAAGCCCCGGUGAACGGCGGCCGUAACUAUAACGGUCCUAAGGUAGCGAAAUUCCUUGUCGGGUAAGUUCCGACCCGCACGAAAGGCGUAACGAUCUGGGCGCUGUCUCGGAGAGAGGCUCUCGAAAUAGAAUUGUCUGUGAAGAUGCGGACUACGUGCACCCGGACAGAAAGACCCUAUGAAGCUUUACUGUAGCUUGGUAUUGUGCCCGGGCUCUGAAUGCGCAGGAUAGGUGGGAGGCUUUGAUCCAUGGCUUGCGGGUCAUGGUGAGCCAACGGUGAGAUACCACUCUUUCAGAGCUAGGGUUCUAACAGCCACCCGUUAUCCGGGGGCUGGACAGUAUCAGGUGGGCAGUUUGACUGGGGCGGUCGCCUCCUAAAAGGUAACGGAGGCGCGCAAAGGUUUGCUCAGGCUGGUUGGAAAUCAGCCGACGAGUGCAAAAGCAGAAGCAAGCUUGACUGUGAGACCAACAAGUCGAACAGGGACGAAAGUCGGCUUUAGUGAUCCGACGGUUCUGAGUGGAAGGGCCGUCGCUCAACGGAUAAAAGUUACUCUAGGAUAACAGGCUGAUCUCCCCCAAGAGUUCACAUCGACGGGGAGGUUUGGCACCUCGAUGUCGGCUCAUCGCAACCUGGGGCUGAAGUCGGUCCCAAGGGUUGGGCUGUUCGCCCAUUAAAGCGGUACGCGAGCUGGGUUCAGAACGUCGUGAGACAGUUCGGUCCAUAUCCGGUGCAUGCGUAAGAACAUUGAGAGGAGUUCUCCCUAGUACGAGAGGACCGGGAGGAACGCACCUCUGGUGUACCAGUUAUCGUGCCAACGGUAAACGCUGGGUAGCCAUGUGCGGAGAGGAUAACCGCUGAAAGCAUCUAAGUGGGAAGCCCACCUCAAGAUGAGUGUUCUCAUGGCUUAAGCCAGUAAGGUCACGGGAAGAACACCCGUUGAUAGGCUCUACGUGGAAGCGCAGCAAUGUGUGAAGCGGAGGAGUACUAAUAGACCGAGGGCUUGACC